GAGAGAGAGAGAGAGAGAGAGAGAGAAGGAGGGGGUAAAAGAAGAGCGCAAGACUGAAGAGAGUGGACUGGCAGAAAUGUGAAAUACGAGAGGGAGAAGAGUAAAGUAGGAGAGGAACCCGUAAGAGGAGAAACGAGGGAUGGCUGACCUGGAAGUGGGCAAAAUCGAGGGAAAGGAAGCCGCCGGUCUAUUCCAACACUUGCUGAAGCUGUGAUGAGAUCUGCUCUGGUGCUCCUCAGGGACUACAGGUGUUCACUCAUACUACAUAAAGCUCAAAGGAGAACAGCUGGUCAGUGAUCAGCAGCAGAGCUCAGUCCCACCAACAUGCCUGGCAUACACGCUAACCCCUCUGACGUGAUUGACAACUCUGCCCUAGCAACCGCUUGGCACGUUGCCGGGCUGCCCAGGGUUGCCAGGGAAAGUGUUCCCAUAGCAACACAUUUAACCACUUUAUUUGCCACUUUGAAAUGUAGCAAAGGUUUUGCAAAGAGGCAGAAAGGGAUUACUGCUGAAAUUUGCCCAAGAUAAAAUAUGUGGAAAGCUGAUAUGAUUUUUGUGAUUCAUUUUUGCUAUUUAUUUUUCUAUUUACUUUUUAUUUUUGUAUGUGUUUAGGGAUCUGCUGCUAGUGCCGAAGACAUAUAUAUUUUUUUCUUUAUGUAAGACUAUGUUGAUUUAGUAUGGUGUGCUGUAUGGUGGACAAAAGGUCCCAAUACCAGCCAUUUAAAAUCACAGACAUCAAUAUUUAA